rnacentral:rRNA from 1 species
UAAGUAGAUAGUGAAAUCUGGUGGCUCAACCAUUCAGACUAUUAUCUAAACUGCCAAGCUCGAGAAUGUUAGGGGUAGCUGGAAUUUCUAAUGUAGGAGUGAAAUCCGUAGAUAUUAGAAGGAACACCGAUAGCGUAGGCAGGCUACUGGGCAUUUCUGACACUAAGGCACGAAAGCGUGGGAGCAAACGGGAUUAGAUACCCCGGUAGUCCACGCUGUAAACGAUGGAUGCUA